UUGGUCCCGGAGUCGCGGCUGCGCCUGUUCGCUGGCGUCAUGGCACCCAAAAAGAAAGGGAAGAAAGGCAAAGCCAAAGGCACCCCGAUUGUCGAUGGGCUUGCUCCAGAGGACAUGAGCAAGGAGCAGGUGGAGGAGCAUGUCAGCCGCAUCCAGGAGGAGCUGGACCGCGAGCGGGAGGAACGAAACUACUUCCAGCUGGAGCGGGACAAGAUCCACACCUUCUGGGAGAUCACACGGAGGCAGCUGGAGGAGAAGAAGGCUGAGCUGCGGAACAAAGACCGGGAGAUGGAAGAAGCCGAGGAGAGGCACCAGGUGGAGAUCAAGGUGUACAAGCAGAAAGUGAAGCACCUGCUAUAUGAGCACCAGAACAACCUGACAGAGAUGAAGGCUGAGGGCACCGUCGUCAUGAAGCUGGCACAGAAGGAGCACCGCACACAGGAGGGUGUGCUGCGCAAGGACAUGCGGGCACUGAAGGUGGAGCUCAAGGAGCAGGAGCUGGCCAAUGAGGUGGUGGUGAAGAACCUGCGGCUGAAAUUGAGGCCAAGUAUGAUAAGAAGAUGAAGAUGCUGAGGGACGAGCUCGACCUGCGGAGAAAGACUGAGCUCCAUGAAGUGGAGGAGAGGAAGAAUGGCCAGAUCAACACGCUGAUGCAGCGCCACGAGGAGGCCUUCACUGACAUUAAGAACUACUACAAUGACAUCACCCUCAACAACCUGGCCCUCAUCAACUCCCUCAAGGUGCUGCGUGUGGGGUGGGCUGGGGAGACACACUCUGCCUGUCCUAGAAUGUGGGCUGCAGACUCCUGGGGAUCCAGACCCCAGCUUUCCACCCCAACACACCCAAUACUUUUUAUAAGAUUAUUUGACAAUGCCCCUUUCAUAUCCUUAACUGAAAUUCCUAAAUAAUGUAACCUAUCUCUACCUAUGUUAAAAGCAGUCAGGAUAUUGCCCUCAUCAUAGUGCAGAGGGGGAAGUCAUAAAGUGUGUUCAGAUUUGUAAAAGCUCAGAUGGAACUGCAGUGAGGGCCGUGAUGUGGCUGGAGUGGAUAGGUGACA
rnacentral:sRNA from 1 species